GGCUCAGGACGAACGCUGGCGGCGUGCUUAACACGAUGCAAGUCGAACGAGGAUUACAUUGGAAGGGCUUGGCCUGGAAGAUGAAUUCGAGUGGCGACGGGUGAGUAACGCGUGAACAAUCUGUCCCGGACAGGGGAAUAACACUUGGAAACAGGUGCUAAUACCGCAUAAGACCACGCCCUCGCAUGGGGAGGGGUAAAAGGAGCAAUCCGGUUCGGGGUGAGUUCGCGUCCGAUUAGAUAGUUGGUGAGGUAACGGCCCACCAAGUCGACGAUCGGUAGCCGACCUGAGAGGGUGAUCGGCCACAUUGGAACUGAGAGACGGUCCAAACUCCUACGGGAGGCAGCAGUGGGGAAUAUUGGGCAAUGGGCCGAAAGCCUGACCCAGCAACGCCGCGUGAGUGAAGAAGGCUUUCGGGUUGUAAAGCUCUGUUAUAGGGGACGAAGGAAGUGACGGUACCCUAUAAGGAAGCCCCGGCUAACUACGUGCCAGCCGCCGC
rnacentral:rRNA from 1 species